rnacentral:rRNA from 1 species
UACGGAGGGGCAAGCGUUAUUCGGAAUUAUUGGGCGUAAAGGGCGCGUAGGCGGCUUGACAAGUCAAAGGUGAAAUCCCUCGGCUCAACUGAGGAACUGCCUUUGAAACUGUCUGGCUAGAGGCCGGGAGGGGGUAGCGGAAUUCCCAGUGUAGCGGUGAAAUGCGUAGAUAUUGGGAGGAACACCAGUGGCGAAGGCGGCUACCUGGACCGGUUCUGACGCUGAUGCGCGAAAGCGUGGGUAGCAACAGG